GACGAACGCUGGCGGCGUGCCUAAUACAUGCAAGUCGAACGGUUUAGUUCCAAGAGGCUUGCCUUUUGGAACUAGACAGUGGCGGACGGGUGAGUAACACGUAGGCAACCUACCUGUCAAACCGGGAUAACCUCGGGAAACCGAAGCUAAACCCGGAUAAGCUCCUUUUUCGCAUGAAGGGGGAGUGAAAAGGUGCGACCUGAUGACAGAUGGGCCUGCGGCGCAUUAGCUAGUAGGUAGGGUAACGGCCUACCUAGGCGAUGAUGCGUAGCCGACCUGAGAGGGCGUACGGCCACACUGGGACUGAGAUACGGCCCAGGCUCCUACGGGAGGCAGCAGUAGGGAAUCUUCGGCAAUGGGCGAAAGCCUGACCGAGCAACGCCGCGUGAGUGAGGAAGGCCUUCGGGGUGUAAAACUCUGUUGUUUGGGAAGAAGGGAAAGGGUAGGACCCUUUGGUGACGGUACCAAACGAGAAAGCCCCGGCUAACUACGUG
rnacentral:rRNA from 1 species